rnacentral:rRNA from 1 species
UACGGAGGGAGCUAGCGUUGUUCGGAAUUACUGGGCGUAAAGCGCGCGUAGGCGGCUUUGUAAGUUAGAGGUGAGAGCCUGGAGCUCAACUUCAGAAUUGCCUUUAAGACUGCAUCGCUUGAAUCCGGGAGAGGUGAGUGGAAUUCCGAGUGUAGAGGUGAAAUUCGUAGAUAUUCGGAAGAACACCAGUGGCGAAGGCGGCUCACUGGACCGGCAUUGACGCUGAGGUGCGAAAGCGUGGGGAGCAAACAGG